AAAAUAUUGUCUUUGUGCAUUUAGAUUAAUUAGAUAAAUGAAUAUCUAAAUUCGUGCCUAUCCGCCAACGGUAGAGUUGUUAACUAACAGUGGCAAAAGCGAUGCAUGCGCUUUUCACUUGUAAAACUCAAGGGUGUAAGGGUAAUGUAGUCUCUGCACUCGGUGGGACGAAUUAGGAAGCUUGCAUUGUGAAGGGCGCUCUGAAAAAAGCGGCAGCGCAGGCAAAAGAUUAAAACCUUUAUUAAAACAGAUGUCCAAAUGAGCGUACCGGUACUCUAAAAGCACAUUCUGGGUGCACGGAGAGGUGGCGGUACGCUCAAGAGCUAUAUUUUGAAGUGGCGGUACUGAGUACCAGUGCGUACCGGCCCACUUAAAGCACUGCUCAUGGCCAAACCUGUGACCUAUUCCAGUGAGGCAGCCACCUGCAGCUUUUACUCCAGUGUUCACUAUACUUUAAAUUUCAACCCUAAGAGUUUGUGAAUGAUUCAUGAAGAUCGCAUUCAUCAUGUCACUACUGUCUGGAAGGGGUUUGCAAUGGGCCAAAGCUCUCUGGAACUCAUGCAAUCCCCUAGUGUGCUCCUAUGAAGCCACUUCACCAAGUAAAUCUCCUCCAGCACCCGAGCCGAUACAAACUCAUUGAUCAACCACAGAACGAGCUUGCCGAAUCACCCAAGGAAUCUGUAAUGUGGAUCCCAGAAGCAACUUCUGCCCUCGUGCUCCCUUCAUCCCAUGUGCUCAGCAGUGAGUAUGGUCCAUGUAAUUAUGUAAGACAUGUAUUUAUUAUUUAGGCAGAAUUUUCAAUUCAAUAAUGUCCACAAAAUGGUCUAUGAUUAGUUUUGUUGAGGUUGAACUGGAGUAUCCUACAUUGAAAAAAAAAGUUUCCUAUUUUUUCUGCCUGACAGUUUAAAUUAAUCUCUCCGGUAGGUGCUGUUCUUUAUAUAAUAUUUACCAUAAGAGUUGAAAUGUGUUUGUUCAAAAUGUGUGCUUUUGUACGCCGUUUUAGGCCGGUGACACACUGGCUGCGUGGCGUCUCUGCUGCGUGCCAGAAGCGUGGUGGCUGCUUCGCGUUUUCUGUGUCUUUAGAGUUGCUUCAGGCGGCGCCCUGUUAACGUUGGUCCGUCAUGGUUAUCACUCUGGUGGCGGCAAGUUAGUCAUUUCAGUUUUCAUGCUUUGUCUUCGAGUUGCCUGAGAAGGGUCAGACGAACGCAAGUUUUUUUUUUCCUCGACAGUGCAAUUGCUCUGGCAGCUGCUUAGGUGGCUCCAAACUGGUCAGUUCAACCUCUCCUGCUUCGUCUUCGAGAAGUCUUUUAGUCAUUCGGUGGCUUUUUUUUCCAGACAGUAUCAUGACUUAGGUUGAUGCAGUGCAAGAUAUGCAGAUUUGAACACCCUGCCCAGGAGGUCCUUUUGAAACAUGACCAAUUGUGCCACUACCAGGGAAGAUACUGCCAAUUACCCUGCCUCUACACAGAUUGCAUCUGCUCCUUUAAAACCAAACUGGUUGACGUCUCACCUUUUAAGAUCACACAAGUGCUUAUCGUCACGUAAGAGUCACUUAACAUUGAAUGGUGAAUUGUGUGACUUUAAGGAAAUUUGUAAAACGCCCUAUUACUCCAAACAUAUAAGGAGCCAUUUUUAAAAAAAACAUGAAACUUUAAGGUGCCCUUUUAGCCAGUGUGGUUUUUGAAACACAUCUGAUUUCAUCAUCCAGUGGUCACAGAAGUCAAAAUCAUUGCAGCUUUUCCAUUACAGACUUUAAAGCAAAUAUCAUUAUUCAAAAUGCAGAACCAAAAGACAGCGAGCCACAAAUUGUUGUUAUGCACACACUUUUAUCACCAUUGCAGUUAAUUUUAUAUUGCUUGUGAUAGAUAUGAAGGACAGAUAUGGAAGCCAAUACAUGUUUGACUGGACCCGUUGUUAUUUUUGCACAUCAUUUCGGACUUGAAUUUUGUAAUAGUUAAUUUAAUUGGGAAAGCAUCAAAUAAAAACUGAGUAGAAGUUUUUAAUUUUGCAACACAAAUGUGACAAAUAAGCUCUUAACUUGAAAAAAACUUUCUAUUGUAAUUAAUUUUAUUGCGAAUGAAAUGACUUGAUUUGGUUUGUGAUUUAAACUUGCUGUUCUACAAAAAAAAAAAAAAAAAAUCAUAUUGAUGAAAUAAAAAAUUGUGA